rnacentral:rRNA from 1 species
UACGUAGGUGGCAAGCGUUGUCCGGAAUUAUUGGGCGUAAAGCGCGCGCAGGCGGUCCUUUAAGUCUGAUGUGAAAGCCCACGGCUCAACCGUGGAGGGUCAUUGGAAACUGGGGGACUUGAGUACAGAAGAGAAGAGUGGAAUUCCACGUGUAGAGGUGAAAUUCGUAGAUAUUGGGAAGAACACCCGUGGCGAAGGCGGCUCUCUGGAACGCAACUGACGCUGAGACGCGAAAGCGUGGGGAGCAAACAGG